AUCUAGCCAGACCGCGAGGCCGGACGCCGGCGCCAUGGAGGAGUACGCUCGGGAGCCUUGCCCAUGGCAAAUUGUGGAUGAUUGCGGUGGAGCCUUCACUAUGGGUGUUAUCGGCGGUGGAGUCUUCCAGGCCAUUAAGGGCUUCCGCAAUGCCCCUGUCGGAAUUCGGCACCGACUGAGAGGUAGUGUCAAUGCUGUGAGGAUCCGAGCCCCUCAAAUUGGAGGUAGCUUCGCGGUAUGGGGGGGCCUGUUCUCCACCAUCGACUGUGGUCUGGUGCGACUGCAGGGCAAGGAAGAUCCUUGGAACUCCAUCACUAGUGGAGCAUUGACCGGAGCUGUGCUGGCUGCCCGCAGUGGCCCACUGGCCAUGGUGGGCUCGGCCAUGAUGGGGGGCAUCCUGUUGGCCCUCAUCGAGGGUGUUGGCAUCCUCCUCACUCGCUACACCGCCCAGCAGUUCCGCAAUGCACCCCCAUUCCUGGAGAACCCCAGCCAGCUGCCCCCUAAGGAGGGUACCCCGGCCCCAGGCUACCCCAGCUAUCAGCAACGAUUAACAGUUUCAGCACGUGCCCGGCUUCGGGCCCGGCUGACGCCCUCCCGCCCGGAAGGAACAGACGGCUCCGAGCUCCGCCUUUUAGAUUCGGCCGAGAGAAGUCGACGAAAGCUUUCCGAGUCCAGGCCGGGUUUUCAGAAGCUGAACGGCGGAAGCACCGGCGGGCCGGAAGUUCCAGGGCCUGCCCUGAAGCAGGGAGGGGGGAGGACGGAGACUCGGGGCAGGAAUGGCGGCUCAAAUUCCAAUUGUGGCCACCACUUCCACCCCGGGGAUCGCCGGGACAGCAAGAAGAGCAGCGAGUCUUCCCAUACGUACAGCGCCGGGGCUACAGCGCAGUAA